rnacentral:rRNA from 1 species
GACGAACGCUGGCGGCGUGCUUAACACAUGCAAGUCGAACGGAAAGGCCCUGCUUUUGUGGGGUGCUCGAGUGGCGAACGGGUGAGUAACACGUGAGUAACCUGCCCUUGACUUUGGGAUAACUUCAGGAAACUGGGGCUAAUACCGGAUAGGAGCUCCUGCUGCAUGGUGGGGGUUGGAAAGUUUCGGCGGUUGGGGAUGGACUCGCGGCUUAUCAGCUUGUUGGUGGGGUAGUGGCUUACCAAGGCUUUGACGGGUAGCCGGCCUGAGAGGGUGACCGGCCACUGGGGGGGGGAUGAGGGCCCCACCCCCCGGCGGGAGCCCACAGGGGGAAAUUGUGCACACGGGGCGCCCCCCGGAGGCGGCAGCCCCGGGGGGGGGGUGAGGGCCUUCGGGUUGAACCGCGUUCGCGCCUACAACGCGGGGUGCGUGACGUAAGUGGAUAAAAAGACCCGGCCAAACCACGCG